rnacentral:tRNA from 1 species
CGGGGUGUGGCUCAGUUGGCUAGAGCGCGGGCAUCGGGAGCCCGAGGCCGUGGGUUCAAGUCCCACCACCCCGA